rnacentral:lncRNA from 1 species
CCUAAUUGAGUAAAUUGGAAAGAAGAAAGAAUAUUAAUAAAAACAUAAAGCUGAAAGCAACCACCAUGUAUAUUUUGGCUUGCACGCAGAAGAAAAAUCUCAGGAAUGUUUUUCAAUGGGCUCGAUAGUCCAUUUUACAAACUGUCAAAGACUUCCAUAAUUUGAAAAAGUAAAGAGCUUGUAAAGGGAAUUAAUUAUUCCAAACAGAAGAUCAUGGAUUAUGUUUUAGUUUACCAAAGUUCGAUCUGUGCCAUUAAAGAUUCCCGCACCACCAGAAGCGAAGCUGACACCGGUCAUAAAGGAGGAGGUAUUCUGUGGCGAGACGGAGAGGUAUGGCGGUGAAGUAGGUAAGCCCACUUUCUGAGCUGCACAAUUUAUAUAUAUUAUUAAAUAAGACAACGAACCCAGAAAGCAGGGAACUACUGUUUAAUCAAGAGAGCAACUCGAUCUACGGGUUGCUUUGGUUACUUGCAAAGAAUUAGUACGUACAGUACAUACGGCUUGCUGUGCGAACUAUAACAUGCAAUAAAAAGAAGUUGUGUGUAUAUAUAUGUACAUGCGCGCGCAGCGUUUCACUUUGUCUAAAGCUAAUUAAGACAGGCACUGAUUCAGGAGAGAUGCAUGAGAUGGAUUUGAGCUUAAACAUAUUGGAAAGAAUGAUGUUAGCUAGAUUAAUUGGGAUUCUACUUCGGUAUACUGUGUGUAUUUAGAAUCUGGUAUAUAUAUAGCAUUAUAGAGUAAAGAUUUGUUAAUUAGAACAUCUUUUUAAUUAUUUAUAAUAUACAUGCAUGCAUGGAACUCACCGAGGAAAUCCGCUGCGUUCUUCCCAUUACUAAACCUUCCUGUAGCUUUCUUUGUAGGAAAAUCGAUGCCGUUGUGAGGGAAAUCUGCUUUGGCAACCGACACUGGGAGGUAAUUGUUGUUGCCCACAUCUACCAGGGAGUCACCAAAAACAAAAAUGGCUGGCACCAUUUGAGCGUUGGCGAAUUUGAGG